CCUACGGGUGGCAGCAGUGAGGAAUAUUGGUCAAUGGGCGCGAGCCUGAACCAGCCAAGUAGCGUGAAGGAUGACUGCCCUACGGGUUGUAAACUUCUUUUAUAAAGGAAUAAAGUGAGGCACGUGUGCCUUUUUGUAUGUACUUUAUGAAUACGGAUCGGCUAACUCCGUGCCAGCAGCCUCGGUAAUACGGAGGAUCCUAGCGUUAUCCGGAUUUAUUGGGGUUAAAGGGUGCGUAGUGUGUGAUGUAAGUCAGCGGUGAAAUGCCCCCGCGCAACGGGGUGAAGUGCCAUUGAUACUGCCUGGCUGGAAUGCGGAUGAAGUGGGAGGAAUGUGUGGUGUAGCGGUGAAAUGCAUAGAUAUCACACAGAACACCGAUUGCGAAGGCAUCUCACGAAUCCGCGAUUGACGCUGAUGCACGAAAGCGUGGGUAUCAAACAGGAUUAGAUACCCUAGUAGUC
rnacentral:rRNA from 1 species